UGAGAUUGUUAGAUCGUUAGUUGAGAUUGUUAGAUUGUUAGUUGAAAUUGUUAGAUCGUUGAGAUGUUGAGAUUGUUAGAUCGUUGAGAUGUACCAUGUUUGAGCACAGAGAGGACCUCAUCUGCUGUUUUGAAAGCAUACGAGACUCGGGUAACUUUGACCCCAUUACUGUCAAAGAGGCGGGAGCCUUCGCCAUGCUGCUGGAAGAUCAGGAUUUUAAGUUCUUUCUGCAACUUUUCCACCACAUCAUGCCACAUGUGGACCUCCUCUAUGCCAAACUCCAGAAGAAUGACAUAGAUUCGGUCCAUAUCAAGGGGAGCAGUUCCAGCAGGACAUAUAAAAGAUCAGGUAGGAGCUGUAUUCCAUCUUUUCCUAUUGUUGUUGUUAUUAUUAUGCUAAAUUCUCCUUUGCAGAAAUUCUCUCCAUUCCAUGGUUGACCAAAACAGUGUAGGUGGUUCUCAGCCAGCGAAGAGGCGUCGGUCACUCAGUCUAGAGGUCUGUGAAAGGAUUACAGCAGAGCUGCAGAGAGAGAUUGAUAGCACAACGACUUUGUCUUCUGGUCUGGAGAUACUAUAUCAGUGAGACUACACAUACAGCCAUUACUAGGCUAUGACUGGAUAGCAGGCCUUUUAGAUGCCGAGAGCUCCCUUACUGAACGCUCGGAACAGUUCUUCAGCAAACGGAACGGCUUCCACCAGGUCCCAGAGUCUGGAGGAAGAGUGGAGAGGCACAGAAUCCAAGUUGCUUAAAGUCCAGUGUGAAGUUUCCACAGUCAGUGAUGAUUUGGGGUGCCAUGUCAUCUGCUGGUGUUGGUCCACUGUAUUUUCACAAGUCGAGAGUCAAUGCUGCCAUCUACCAGGAGAUUUUAGAGCACUUCAUGCUUCCAUCUGCUGACAAGCUUUAUGGAGAUGCUGAUUUCCUUUUCCAGCAGGACUUGGUACCUGCCCACAGUGCCAAAACUACUAGUAACUGGUUUGCUGACCAUGGUAUUACUGUGCUUGAUUGGCCAGCCAACGCGCCUGAUCUGAACCCCAUAGUGAAUCUAUGGAGUAUUGUCAAGAGGAAGAUGAGAGACACCAGACCCAACAAUACAGACAAGCUGAAGGCCGCUAUCAAAGCAACCUGGGCUUCCAUAACAUCUCAGCAGUGCCACAGGCUGAUUGCCUUCAUGCCACACCACAUUGAUGCAGUAAUUUGUGCAAAAGGAGCCCCGACCAAGUAUUGAGUGCAUAAAUUAACAUACUUUUCAGAAG